rnacentral:sRNA from 2 species
UGGCAUAUAUUUAUCCAGAAACUCUCUUCCAGCAAAAGGUGCUUAACCAUGAUUCCGAUAUACCGAAACACCUGCAGCUUGCCUACCAGCUUGCCGAAUUUGUGCAUCUUGGUGUCGCCGGUGACAUUACAGCCUCAACACUGAACCAGACUUUCGCACUCAACUGUCUUGACGCACUGGCAAAACAUAAAUCCCGAUCUGCGGAUGUUUGUGCGGCUCUUAGCGUGAACGUUAACCACGGAAUCCUUAUGUUCCUCACUCGGAAGGCUGUUGCGGACUUGGCCGUCGAAGAGAAGCCGGAUGACCCACCGGAAGGCGAUGACUGGAGAGAGGCUCUAUUUGCACUUCUUCGAACCCUUCCGAAUGCUGGUACGAGAACGCCAGAGACUCUUGUGGCAGCUGGAUUGAUUCCUUUGUUUGUCGAUAUCUUGAACCUCAGGACGGAGAAAGCAAGAAAAAUUUAUCCUCGGGUCAUGGAAUUCUUGGAUACAUUUGUUCACUCUGUUCGGGAUGCAUUGGCAACAUUGGCUGGAGCCAAAGGUUUCCAUGCCAUUUCAGAUCUGAUCUCUUUCGAGACGAAGACGUCAUUUGAUGCUGUGACGAAGGACCAGGGAAUUCCAGCGCCGUUUAGGACUGCCGCCAUCGAUUACCAGAU